UUCUGGCCAUGGAGCAGAAGAAGAUCCCUCGCCUAGAGCUUCCCUUUCCUUUUUAUAGGAAGGGGGUAUAGCGGUUAUCUGCAAUCGGGUGUGAUUGUGUGAAUCAAUGUGUUACCGUAAAUGGCCCGAGAUUUCGGGCUAGCUGGCGAUCCGUUGAGAUCGUGUGAAUUCAAACGUUGAAAGCCGUUGAGGCGGAGAUUGUGGAAUUUGAUUCCGGAUAUGGAGGACUUGAUUUUUAGUAGAGUGGGGGUCAGUUUCUCCUUGUAACUGGGUCUUUCUUGGCCUUGAGGUCGAUUGGGCUUGACUCAACCGAGACCAUGCCUGCCAGGGUCAUGCCGAGA
rnacentral:lncRNA from 1 species